rnacentral:miRNA from 1 species
ACUUUCCAUCCCUUGCACUGU